CCAAAGCUUUAUGCUUAACCACUGGGAUUUAUAUUUUCAAGCAUUUUGGAUUUGCGGAUUGAAAUAAAUGAACACAUGAGAUGGAGUUUCACUCUUGUCGCCCAGGCUGGAGUGCACUGGCAUGAUCUUGGCUUACGACAACCUCCACCUCCCCAGAUCAAGCAAUUCCCCCACCUCAGUCUCCCAAGUAGCUGAGAUUAUAGGUGCCUGCCAUCACGCCUGGAUUAAUUUUUUUGUAUUUUUUAGUAGAGAUGGGGUUUUGCCAUGUUAGCCAAGCUGGUCUUGAACUCCUGACCUCAGGUAAUCUGCCUGCCUCAGCCUCUCAAAGUGCUGGGAUUACAGCGGUGAGUCACCGUGCCAGGCCAUUGAUUAGUAAAGAAUUGUGUGUGUGUGUGUGUGUGUGUGUGUGUGUGUGUGUGUGUGUGUGUGUGUCUUUUUGAGACAGAGUCUUGGUCUGUUGCCCAGGCUGGAGUGCAGUGGCGCAAUCUUGGCUCAGUGCAACCUCUGCCUCCUGGAUUCGAGUGAUUCUCCUGCCUCAGCCUCCUGAGUAGCUGGGAUUACAGGGGCCCGCCCCUACGCCCUGCAAAUUUUUGUAUUUUUAGUAGAGACGGGGUUUCACCAUGUUGACCAGGAUGUUCUCUAUCUCUUGACCUGGUGAUUGGCACACCUUGGCCUCCCAAAGUGCUGGGAUUCCAGGUGUGAGCCACUGUGCUGUGCCAUUGAUUAGCAAAGCAUUUUAACAGUAAAGGUAAGAAUAGAUAAAUUUAAUGGCUCAUUUUCAUUUCUUCAUCCUCAUGUUCUAACAUAGAGUGUAUCUGAAUUUCCAAGCACAUAUUCACAGGUGCAAAAAAAAAAAAAAAAUAACACAUGGCAUGAUUUCAUCAGUGGUUCUUAAUCUUGGGAAUAUGGUAGAAUAUGGUACCUGUGAGAGUUUUCAAAAAAUACCAAAGCUGGAGCUACUUUUUGGUGGGCAAGGACCCAAGAAAACUCACAAGCAAAAAUGAGAUGCCCUCAAGGUGGGCGAGAUGCUAUCAGAGUCUCUGCUGCUCCAGGGACCCAGACUGAUCCCCACCGUUCAUGGCACAUAUUGGCUGAAGGGGCUUCCAAGCGGAACGCUACCUCUCAGCAUUGGGAGAUCAGCACCCUGGGCACAGAAUCUGCCAUACAAUGAAGCAGGAGUGGCCUCUCUAGAAAAGCUCCCCACCCCUCAGAAACGCUUUCCUACCUUGAGAAUUGACACUUGACAUUUCACAGUUAGAUAGCCACACCUUUUCCAGCUUUAUUUACUUCAAAAAUAGAAAUGUGUCUGAGGAAUGACAAUAAAACUUAGUGGUGAUUUGUAUCACUUGGGGCUCACUUCUUCAUAGCAGGUUUGAAAGGGGUUAGCAGGGCAAGUUUGUGAGACUAUUGGAUUCUAAAGGGUGCCAGAAGAGAAGUCUACAUUUGGCACUUCUGAGCCCUGGUCUGCAGCUCACCCUAAAGCCCCUCAUAGAACAAUAUCAUUUAAUGCUCUUUGUAAUUCUAUCAUUAUAUGGAUGAUGCUUUUCUUCAAUUUAUUUAGUUUUUUUUUCAAGAUGGUAUCGUGCUCUGUCACCCAGGCUGGAGUGCAGUGGCAGGAUCUCGGCUCACUGCAACCUCAGCUUCCUGGGUUCAAUCGAUUCUCCUGCCUCAGCCUCCUGCGUAGUUGGGAUUAUAGGUGCCUGCCACCUCGCCCAGCUAAUUUUUUGUAUUUUUAGUAGAGAUGGGGUUUCACCAUGUGGGCCAGGGUCUCAAAUUCCUGGCCUCAUGAUCUGCCCACCCUGGCCUCCAAAAAUGCUGGGAUUACAGGCAUGAGCCACCAUGCCCGGCCUUUCUUCUAGUUUUGACCUCUCUGCUGUCUAGAAACUUUUUCAUGUCAAAAGUUCACAUCGUUCAUUCCUAUCAAAAGAACCAAAUGAGAUACAAACAGAGAACUACAAUUUAUACGGCAGAAGUGGGACAAAUCACUGAGAUCCCUUCCAAAGUGAUUGGCACAGGCCAGGGUGGUGCUUCUCGUAUGCUCUUCAUACAACAUGGUAUGGAUCAUUCUGGCUUAGAAGCAUAAGCUCCUGUCCUCAGAGAGGCUGGUCCCAGAUGGUUCUGUAGGGCACGUGGCACAUGCUGAGUGCUCUGUAAAUGUUGAGGCUAUGAGGUAAUCUGCAGAGGACACCUCCUCAGAGGAAGGUGCUACACAAAUACUAGUAUUACUAUUCUUUUAGCACAAAUUUAUAAUUGCCUUUCUGUUAAACAUUGCAGCAAGUUAAAUUCAUUCAGUAUGAUUAGUCAUUAAACAAAUGCCUGGUAAUGACUGCCUUCUUAUUUUAGCAGUUCCUCAAACCACUGGGGUAAUACCCUAUCAGGCUUUUCCCCAUUGUCAGGUUAAUUGGGUUGUACAACCUGCGUUUCAAGAGAGAGCAUACACACUGCUUUCCAGCAACCGGACCGUGACUUAAGGCCAGCACCGAACUAAUUUACCUUCGAGUUUUCUCUAUGGCUCUUGCCAUUCCGUUAGGUACAAUUGACUAGUUCAUUACAGCCUACAAGUAGCUUAAGGCCAUUUCUACCUGUUAAAAAAGAAAUGUGCUUUUCAAACCAGAAUGUGGGCAGGAAUUCUCCUGAAAUCAUUCCUGCAAAGCUGAAACCAGUUGAAGCGAGAUGGGCAGUGAUGGCUUUCACCUGUGCUCGCAUUGGGGCGGUCACCCUAAGUCCCUGCCAUCUUAGCAAGCGGGACAGAAAUAGUUAAGUCCAGAAGGCUGUGAGUUAAAAACCCUGUCUGAGAGAAAAGCAACGUGAGAUGUCCCAGCCAGGUGUGGAUGGAGGAAGACCGCACUCCUGAAGCCAUUCUUUGCAUUGAAGGUCAUCUGUCUGGUGCCACCUUAGAAACCGGUCCGCUUCUGCAGAGGACAUGGAAUGAUAACACCCCGCAAGUCAGCUGACUGCUGUGUCAGAGCUGCUGCUGCUUUCUGCAUUAUCGCAACUGCCAGCUCCAGCUCCUGCAGCUUCCCAGUCGCAAUGCAGCAAAGCAGGGGCGUGCAACUAGGCACACAGCAACAGAGUUGCAAAGUUUUCUUCUCCUGCUACUACUUAGCCUGCCUUACGUGAGGAGUAUUUACCUUUGUUUAGCCAGGAGCAGAGAUGCAGCCUGAAUGUACGUGAUGGCUUCUAACUUGGCAGCGUGAAUUUUCAGCUGAGCAGGUACUGCUCCGAGCCUUGUAACCAAACUGCCUCUGAAGGAGCACAGCGGGUUUCCCACCAUGUGUGUGAAUAGUUUGGGGGCUGCUUGUGCCACACUGCUCUACCUGCAGGAAUAAAGGCUAGGACAAAGGAGAGGAUGUUUGCCAUGGUUUGUCUGGCUGGGGCCUGUGCGAGCGACUCACUGCACUGAUGCUGUGUGACUCCCCAGCUCACAUUUCAGGCUGGUCACCAGGCUGGCGCAGAUCCCCACUCCUCAGUUAGAGCAUGGUUUAAAGGAGAAACCAGGCUCCCUGACCUAAAUCACUCCCAUUCCUCUCUGGACGCGGGACAGCUGUCGACUAGCAGUGACACAACCAGCCAUCAAGUGGAGAAUCGUUGCGACUGCAGUCUGUGUGCAGGUGGAGCCCGGGAGAAUGACAGUCUAAUUUCGGUCAUCCAAUGGCUUUUUCUUAUUUUCCUAAAUAGUCGUGCUCUCUAAGUAUACAGUUGUCUGGAUUAGCCUGGCUGCCAUGCAAUCUCAUCGACUCUGGCUGGAAAUCAGGGUGCCAGGCAAGCCUUUAGCUCCGGCUCCUUUCUGCGUGAUGCUAUGCAGCUAGGAUGGGUCACGCUGACAACACAGAAGGAAGCAGGAAGCACCGCUUUGUCUUCUCUUGUGAUAUUAGCGGAACAUAACUCUUCUUCGCAGUGAUGCCUUCCCACAUGUCUGUGCGUGUGCGUGUGUGUGUGUAUUUUAAUUUAUCUAAUUGAAGAGCCUAACAAAUAUCAUCAUGGAUGUGGUUUUAAUGAUUUGGAAAAAAAAAAAAAAAAGCCUGUGGAGACAGCGAUUUGAAACAGUGGCACAUUUAGGUUAUUGCCAAUUUGAAAUACUUGGUUUGUGAAGCUGAGCCCUAAGGGACAAGCUCGGUAACUGAGGAAGAGAUCGUAGAUAAAGAAAUAAAAAUGACAAGCGUAAUGGAGGCUCUGCGAAGGGAGUGUCAGAGCAUCAGUUCACGGAUGGCAAUUUCACCAGGCUGAGAUUGAAUAAUUCAUAGAUUGAAAUUACCCUGCUUUCACCUUUCCAUUUAAACCGGCAUGAUCUGAAUCUCUAAUAAAUUUUCAAGAUAAAGUAAAAUGCCAAUUUGAAUCUGAAGAGCUUCUGAAACCAGAUGCUGCAUCCCUGAAUCUUUCAGUAUCUUUCACAAUUAUCCUGUGAGAACAGCACUUCAUCACGAAGCACCAUUACCAGGGAAAAUUACUGUGAUUACAAUAGCAACAAUAGAACACCAUCAAAUGAUCUCUAAUUUACCUAAUUUGCUAAGACUGACUGUGUGGUUUUGAUAUCCAUUUUAUGUCACUAUGCCCGGCACCGGUGAAGCUAUCUCACACUGGAACAAAAGUGGCAUCAUGUGUAUGUGUGUGUGUGUGUGUGUGCGCGCGCACGUGUGCCCGCGCUGCUACCUUAACUGUGAAAGCCUAGCAAAGAAUAUUCUCCUAGGUUACAGUAUUUCUUUCCUUGGUUCGCAUUUUUUCCAAUGCCUGUACCCCAAGUGUGUUUGGGGAAAUAGAGAACCUGUUAUAGACUGGGGGACUGUUUUUUGAUACAGAAGAGCAUUGGUUUGUUAAUUUAUAAACCCUCUUUAUUUUAAUGUAUACAAGCAUGUGUUUACUAAAAGGGAGGAUGGAUGUCGUUCUGGGAGAGUAGUUUUAAAAUGCAGCUGAGAUGUAGUGUAUGUGUUUGUUUCUUCUUUGAAACCCCUGUCUGUCUCUUUCAGGUUAGAAAUCCCUUCAGGGAACUGUAGACCUGGUGCGAGGUGUUGGAAACCUCUGAGACUGCAAAGAAGCUCAGGAGAUACAAUCAGUAAUAGUUCUGCGCAGCUCUGAGUAAAAGCAUGCAUGUUCAAUUCAGUGAUCACAUGAAGCUUGGGUACCACGUCGGCUGUGUUUGUGUCUGCUCGCUCUGGAGCAGUCUGUACUGAAGAGAACUUUGUGGGACAGGCUGCAUGGUCCAUGUCAGGGUAAUUGCGCCAUCCUGAGAAGGUGGCGUGGAUCAUAAAUCCUCACUGGAGAACAGACUGGAAUCAUUUCUAGGCACAAUAGCUUCUGGAAUUUGACUUUGAAUAGUUUGAAGGUAGUAUGUGGGUUUCUGCUAGUCAAGUGAUUUAAGUGUGAUUACCUAAGGCAAGGUUUUGGAGUUAGGACAACCAUUUGGGAGGAAGGUAGGUUUGAAACACACCUUUCUAAUGUUCUGGGGUUUUUGCUGGAGAUCCUUAGCUCUGAUACGUUCCUUAAUCCAUGAUCACAGCUUGACCCCUUCAUGUAUCCUGUGACCCAACACGUACCUUUGUCAGAGCAGUGGCACCCUGCUUAUUGGUCAGCAUCUCUCUUCGGAAUGUGGUCAAGAAACUCAUAAACGUAAAAAGUAGAAGGAUUCUAGCAAGCAAAAGAAUGCGAAAGCCUGCAGACUUUGCUCACAGCCUCUCGCUACGAGCCAGUGAGGUUCAUUCUCACCACAAUUCUAGGCUGUCCACAGCAUGUGAGAAGCAGGAAAUUGAAAACCGGAUGGGGCUGUGGAAAGUCACAUUUUCGGCCGGGCGCGGUGGCUCACACCUGUGAUCCCAGCACUUUGGGAGGCCGAGGCAGGCAGAUCACAAAGUCAAGAUAUCAAGACCAUCCUGGCCAACAUGGUGAAACCCCAUCUCUAAAAAUACAAAAAUUAGUUGGUGGCAUGUGCCUAGUCCCAGCUACUUUGGAGGCUGAGGCCGGAGAAUCGCUUGAACCCGGGAGACGGAGGCUGCAGUGAGCCAAUCCCACCAUUGCACACCAGCCUGGUGACAGAGCGAGACUCUGUCUCAAAAAAAAAAAAAAAAAAAAAAGUGACAUUUGCCAGCUUAACAGUGAAGUCCAGGGGUAGGGAAAAAGACCCCAAAGUGGACCCAAACAUUUUGAAUGUAACCUAAUACUGGAAGCCAAGCAUAAUUUUAUUCCAGCAUUUUCUACGGCAGUUGGCUCUAAUGAUGACAUCAGAGUCCUCAAAGGCACGACUUAACCUACGUGGGUCACUGUCUAGUCAGAGAAACGUGGAAUACGCAUUUUAGAAAGAAUUUCAUUUAAUCUGGUUUCUUUUCAAAAUGUAUUUUAGGUACUUGCUUUGCCUUAAAACACACACACAAGCAAACAAACAAAAAAACCACGGACAACUCUAAGGGAUUGCUCACUCCUCCAUUACAGGGAAUACAAGAGUCAUACUUGAGCUCUUCUGGAAAAAGUGGCAAUUUACAGAAGCUGCCUCCUCACACAUUCCUCCUUUUGCUCUGUUGCUAAUGAAGCACUUGGAGAACAAGAUUUCAGUCCCAAAGCUUGCAGCUUGUCCUUUGGCCUCGUUUUGCAGACCCUCCACCACCCCCGCUGGUUUUCCCUCUUCACCCGGUCCCCCCACUCACUUAUCGCAAGCUUGAGCUAUACCAGUCCCCGGGGAAUUCAAAUGGAGAUAUGUAAAUGUCAGUUGCUAUUAUAGCUAACAAGCAGCUCUUUCGCCUGGAUCUCCGAACACUGCCCUGAGAGAUGCCAGCGUAUCACAACAGUCCCGGCUGUUUGGAAAGUUUUCAGGUUGUUUGCUUUAAUGGAUUUGCUCCAAGUGAGGCGCGUGUUUUUCAAAACCGAAUGCCAAAGAUAACAAAAAAUGCAAAGGAGAGGAGAAAGGGAGACUUAUCCCGAGUACAGGAGUGAACCAGGAUAAGACUUACUAAACAGCAGAAAUGUUCAAGGGCACCGGAGUCUCUCCCACAUUUAGAAUGACCCAGAAACACUGAGGUUAAAAACAGUGCACACGGUCACUUAGAAACCAGUGAUUUGGGCCCCAGAAUGUGUUUGACAUCUUCUUCGUGUCUCUUGGGGAAUAGGUCAAUGUGUUAUUCCGUUACUUAAGCUGUUUACAGCUGUAUUUGAGUGGUCUUUGUUGACAAAGUUGUUUCCAAGUAAUUCUCUAAAAACAUUCUGAUUGCUGUUCCCUGUCAUUAGCUACUGUAAUUUGUUUUCGGGGUUGAUGGUCAGCACCAUAAUUGCACUUAGCACACUGAAUGGGUUUGCGUGAUUGUCUGGUGCAUUUCUGUGUUAAACUUAUUGCUGUUUCUUGAACCCACUUUGGAUUUAAAAGAGUCUGCCAUUUACAUCUCUAAAGAAGAUAAUGGAGAGUGAUUACUUUUGUGUUAAUUAUAAUUUAGCAUUUAUGUAGCACUUGUAUUUCCGAAGGCAUUACAGUCAUUUAUGAAUUAUCCAGCCCUGUAGCCUUGAGCUCUAAGCCAUUUGGAUUCUCUCUGAUUUCUAGAUAAGUCACGAGGCUGGGGAAGUGCAGUUGGCUGAUGAGAGGUCCCUCCCUUCCUGUUAGGAUUCCCACCCUUUUUCCAGGACACCCCACCCACCUGGGAUCUGCACAGGCUGGCUUCAUUACUUUGUUUGAAGUUUUAUGUUUGAUGUUCUUUGAAACUGUGUAUAAAAUACAUUCCAAAGUCACAUAUAGAUUAUUUUUGGAUUAUCUGAUGUUUUGAAUAUAAUUAUUCACUUCCAUUCAUUCAUUUACCCCUUCAUUAGACCCUGAAGUGAGCACUCCCCUCUAUUUCAGGCAAUGAGUUAGGCUCUGGGGAGAGGAGAGCUGCAGUUUUACCAUGCAGAUAACGAAGAACACAGUGGAAAAUAGGGUCAGAUGAGAUGUGUAGUGCUGUCCGAAGAAACCAGUGGAAUUGUUUCUUUUUGGAAGAUCAGGGGCAGUGUUUUUUGAGCUGGAACUCGGAAACUCCAGUUUUGUGUUUGUGCAUUGGGUGGGAGAUGGGGAGGGGAGGGUGAAGAAGACAUGGAGAUAAACAGCAUUAUUCCAGGGCGACAAGACAACAUGAAAAAUGGAAACCUGGAAAACAGUCACUUAUUUGCCCUGAUUGGAGGGUUUUUUUGGUAAGGAAUGACGGUAAAUGAGGCUGGAAAAUUAUUUUGGAGCAAGGUUGUAGAUGAUCUGGUGCUGUCUGCUUAACAGAGUGAACUUCUCCAUUAAGCCAUUAAUGUCCAAUGAAUCCACAACUGGACUACAAAUGAGUGGAAGUAGCCAGAAGUACCAAGAAAGCAAUAGAUACCACUGCAUACACCACAUGGGAUAAAGUUAGAGAGAUGAGUUACGUGGAUGUAAAACCCAAUGACCAGAUAGCCAAGAGAAUGAAAGCAAGGCCAAGAGCACCUGUGUAUUAGGAAGGAGAAGUGAGUCUUAAGCAAGUGAUAAAUUAUAUGAAAAGAUGGUGAAACCAACAAGAGUCACUGAGGAGAGUUUUCUGAUGUUCUGCUAAUAGAGAAAUCACUUCUUAAAGAUCACCUCCCAGCUUCACUCACUCAUUUAUUCAUUUAUUUGUGGGCGAUUAGAAGGUUCACUACUCUGUGAACGCCCAGUCUUACUCACAGAGUCCUCUGCCUCCAUACACUUCUGACUGUUGCCAGAACCUAAUCUAUUUCUAGAAGGCUUGUUUUUGAGACACUGGAAAUAUUUGUUAUUGUACUGAGUAUAUCAGCAAGGCCACCACCAGUCACCAUAGCUCACUGUGUGGUUUUUACAUGGAUUUCCCCUAAAUGCCACCCCCACCUGCCAUUAAAGGAUGAAUUCCACAUACCCCUUCCCCCACCAAACUCACAUGUUGAAGUCCUCAUGCUCAGUAUCUUAGAAUGUAACCUUAUUUGGAGAUACGGUCCUUACAGAGGUAAUCAAGUUAAAAUAAGGUCAAGUUAAAAUCAAGUUAAAAUUAGGUGGACCUUAAUGCAGUCUGACUGCCGUCCUUACAAAGGGAGAAAUCUGGACACAGAGACACACCCAGAAGAAAGGCAGUUUGAAGAGACCCAAGGAGAAGAUGGACAUCUACAGCCACGGAGAGAGGUCUGAGCAAAUCCUCCCCUCUCAGCCCUCAGAAGUAACCGGUCCUUUGAAAGGCCAAGGUGGGUGGAUCAUCUGAGGUCAGGAGUUCAAGACCAGCUUGGCCAAAUGGUAAAAUCCCAUCUCUACUAAAAAUACAAAAAUUAUCCAAAUGAGUUUGCAGAUGCCUAUAAUUCCAAGCGUUUGGGAGGCUGAGGCAGCAGAAUCACUGGAACCCAGGAGGUGGAGGUUGCAGUGAGCUGAGAUUGUGCCUCUGCUCAGGCCUUGAUUUUGGACAUCUAGCCUCCAGAAGAGUGCGACAAUACCUUUCCGUGUUUUAGCCACCCAGUUAUUAGCCCUUUUGUUAAGACAGCCUUAGCAAACUAACACCCACCUCCAACACCUUGAUCGGUGGAAUUCCCUCGCCCUUCCUGUGCUCAUCAGCAUGAAUAAGAACCCCCAGAACCGACAGUGCUUUGAUGAGCUGCUGCUGCCUUUUGAAUGAAGUACUAGACGGUGAGCCUGGCCUGAAAGUUUCCUUCGAGUUGUCCUGCUCAAAUGACUGUGGGUAUAAGAACAAGUAUUUAAAUACUACUUUUUCUGGAUCAAAGUAUAAAAGGAAUGAGUUACUUCAGAGGUUGCCACAACUUCGGAGCCGGUGCCACACUGCAGCAGGUGCAGAUUCUCACAUAGACGGAACUCUUCUGUAAGAAGAGAGCACCAGCUGAAUUCUAAGCAAGUUCGAAACACGCACGUGCUGCCUCUUGCUGAAGAUGUGUGAAUAAACCAGCACCCAAGUCAGCAGCCUCCUUAUCCCUUCCUUUCUUAAAGCAAUUUUCAAGACAAGCUCAAACAGUACUCUCACAGUUGGUUACUACAGGAGUUAAUGACUCCAAGCUCAAAAGGAAUGACUUUUUAAAAAAUUUUCCAUUUGACAAACGUUUCCCUAAGGCGACAGCUUUUACCCCCUGCCUACUCCCCUAGCCGAAGUUAGCAACCACAUAUUAAUUAGUUGAAGCCAAAUCUCAGGAAGCACUAGUCUUUUCCUUUUAAGCAUACUAAGUGUGUGUUAGAAGGCAAGUUACGUCUAAAUUACCUGAAAGUCUCUUGUUAGGUGUGCGGAAAGUUUUCUGCUACGUAAGUUUUACAAGGUACCUAAGUCAAGCACCUUUCAUCUCAGUAGGACUGACUCUCUCUCAAGACAGUUAUUUGCCCACAUGAAAUAGAGAGGUAACAAGAAUGUGUCCUUCUCCAGAGCAUUGCCUCACCAAAUGUCCAGAUUUCAUAGCAAAGACAUCAAUUUUAGAGUCAAGCGUUGCUUUCGCUUCUGCAUCAAAAUGUAGCAGUGUUGAAGAACUAACCUGUGGGUCUCACUGCCCAGUGCAAAAUCAAAAUGUGGUGCCCUUUGUUCAAAAAGCGGGAAAAAAUGUCAUUAAAGGUACUAAAAUGUAGUAAAGCUUUUCCUUUUCUUCUGUGGUCUUGAUUUGUCUUUUUAAAUAUAUAUGUAAUAUUUAACUUGUAAUCUGAUUUCAUUCUAAGUAAAGGAAACUUAUUUUAAAAGACUAGCAUAAUUUUUCUAUUCAUCUUAUAUGAGGCAAUGACCUGUUUGUUUUUGAGACAGGGUCUCACUCUGUCACCCAGGCUGGAGUGCAGUGGUGCUAUCACACAACUCACUGUAGCCUCCAGCUACUGGGCUCAAGUAAUCCUUUCAGUUCAGCCUCCUGAGUAGCUGAGACUACAGGCAUUCCCCACCACACCAGGCUAAUUUUUUGUCUUUUUUUGUAGAGAUGGGUUUCACCAUGUUGCCCAAGCUGGUGUUGAACUCCUGGGCUCAAGUGGUCCUCCCACCUCAGCCUCCCAAAGCGCUGGGAUUACAGGUGUGAGCCACUGUGCCUGGCCGCAAUGACCAUUUUAAGUGGCAUUUAACUUGUAUGUGAAAUCACCAAAAUUACACAAUUCAUAUUUUACAGCUUGUACAUGCAUAAGUGUUUUAUUCUUGCCAGGACAGUGGAAACACUGCCCCAAACGAUUGAACCUGUUUCAAUUUCUCUUCUUGACUCUCACCCUCACUGCCUUUAUCCCACGGAGGAGUAAGGAAGGUCAGAGAGAGAAGGGAAUGACGGGUGGCCUGGCCUGCCUUUCUCCUUCCUCCAUGUUGUCAUUUUCAGCUUAUGUGGUUGGCUAACACAGGGGAGAAACAUGAGCAAAAAGGGUUAGAAUGGGAAUUUGUGGUCAUCCGUGCUUCUUUGAACACCACUGCCUUCCUUCUGUGUUUGAAGCAGGUCCUGGUUUGAAGGGAAAAGAUGGUUCCUAGGGGCUUUUGGAGACCCUGCCCCCUGAGUCGUAGCCAUAACACACUUAACGUUGUACUCACGCUGAGUCUUGCCAAAUUCCCAUGCAUGUGGGUCCACUGUAAUUCUGUGCCCAUGGGGGUAUGGUGAGCAGUUUUUGUGAAUGUCAGGGAAUGGCUAAAGACACGCAUAUUGCUCAUAUCUUCUUCUUCUUUUUUUUUUUUUUGAGACGGAGUUUCGCUCUUGUUACCCAGGCUGGAGUGCAAUGGCGCAAUCUCGGCUCACCGCAACCUCCACCUCCUGGGUUCAGGCAAUUCUCCUGCCUCAGCCUCCUGAGUAGCUGGGAUUACAGGCACAUGCCACCAUGCCCAGCUAAUUUUUUGUAGUUUUAGUAGAGGCGGGGUUUCACCAUGUUGACCAGGAUGGCCUCGAUCUCUUGACCUAGUGAUCCAGCCGCCUCAGCCUCCCAAAGUGCUGGGAUUACAGGCUUGAGCCACCGCGCCCGGCCUGCUCAUAUCUUCUCUAUUCACACAAGCUCCACUGGCCCAUCAGACUUCACUUACAAAACGUAAGUUCAAAGACAAAAUUAUUAACACUCUCAAGACUGCACAGCAUUAAGCCCAGGCCAGGCCUUUCUGGGUACAGGGUCGUGUGUCACUGCAUGGGUUAUGCAACCAUAAAGCUGGCUCUGGUACCACAAUGUGCCAUGUGAAUGACAGUCCUUUUUCUAUAUAGAUGGAAAACUCCCAUCUUUCACCUAAGCACGUUAAAGCAUUUUAUUUAGUAAAUAACAUGUCGCCUUACCCCCUAACUCACCGAUUCCCCGCAUCUCUCUCUUCUUAAUGCCCACAACCUUCCACUUGCUCCCUUUUGAUCUCAAUGCCUUCAUUUCUCUCUCAGUAUCCCUCAAGGGUGCUAUGCACAUUUGGCUUGUUUUGUUAGCUGUUACAUGUUGAAUUGCCCCCGUACCCCGCAAAGAGAUAUAUUGGCGCCCUACAUCCUAUCCCUCAGUCUCAGGAUGUGUCCUUAUUUGGAGAAAGAGUUUUUGCAGAGGUAAUCAGGUUGUAAUGAGGUCACUGGAGUGAGUCUAAUCCAAUCUGACUUGUGUCCUUAUAAAAAGGGAAAAUUUAGACACAGAAACAGAUACAGUAUCAGUCAGACUGGACCACUGUAACAAAACACCACAGACUGGGCGGCUUAGACAACAGAAACGAAUUUUCCCACAGUUUUGGAGGCUGGGAAAACCAAUAUCAAGGUGCCUGCAGAUUCCGUUAUUGAGGAGGGCUCUCUUCCUGGCUUGCAGGCAGCCGCCUUCUUGCUGUGCCUUCAGUGGCACAGAUAGAGAGUAAGCUCUUAGGUGUCUAAAUUCCAUCAUGAGGGUUUUAAUCCCAUCAUGAAAGUCCCACCUUCAUGACCUCAUGUAAACCUAAUUAUCUCCCAAAGGCCUUAUCUCCAAACCAUCACAUUUAGGUUUAGGGCUUUCACAUAUAAAUUUUGGGGAGAAACAAUUCAGUUCAUUGCAGAUGUAAAGAGACACAGGGAGAAGGUGGCCAUCUACAAAUCAAGAAACAAGGACUAAAACAGAGCCUCUCACAGCUUUCAGAAGGAACCAAUUCUGCUGACACCUUCAUCUUGGACUUCAAGCCUCUAGAAUUACAAGAAAAUAAAUUUCUAUUAAUUACACCACUUUGUUUGUGGUACUUAGUCAUGACAGCCCUAACAAACCUAUCCAUUUGCCUUGCUUUCAUCUCUUUAUUUGUGUAAGGUCCUGUAAGAUUGGAAAUGCCUUUCUCCAGAUACUUUGCUGCUUUUUGUCAUAAGCUACAACCAUAAACUCAGCCCAUAUCCAGCCAUCCUGGAACAUCUAAGGUAUAUUAAAAUCUGUUAAGUCCUAUUCUUGGUAAGACAUGGGGGUAAGUGACUCAGCCCACCAUUGAAAACAAGACGAUGUUUUGUCUUGGACAAGACGAUGAGAUAGUCCUACAUGUGAAGAGAGUUCAUGGAGCCAGAGAUGAUGCUAAAUAAUAAUCGAUGCUUACGACGUAUCAGCAUUUUGUAUGCACAGACUCAGUUCUUAUGACAAUUCCAUGAUUCGAAUUUUAAAGCGCAGAUAUACGAAUGAGGUAGGUGCUGCUAUAUACCCUUUUACAGAUGAGAACGGUGAGUUACAGGGAAAUCAAGGCGCUUCCUUAACAUCACACAACUUGUAACUGAAAAGGAUCUAGACCUUGAGCUUUUAAUCGCUAUGCUCUUCUACCAAGACAUUUAACGUUAGCAACAGAAAAACAAAUGAAUUUGGAACUCUACCUCACACCAUAUACAAAAACUAACCCAGAAUGGAUUGAAGAUCUAAACACAGAAGCAAACUGUAAAACUUGGAGAAGACAACAAAGAUGUGACUCUUUUUGGCCUAGGAUUAGGCAAUGAUUCCUUGGAUAUAGUACAAAACACACAAAACAAAAGCAAAAGAAAAGAUAAAUGAGUUGGACUUAACCAAAAUCAAAAACUUCUGUGCCUCAAAGGAUACUUCCAAGAAAGUGAAAAGACAAUUUACAGAAUAGGAGAACACAUUUGCAAAUCACAUAUGUGACUAGUCAGGGUCUAGUAUCCACAAUAUAUAAAGAACUCUUAACACUCAAUGACAAAAAGGUGAACAACACAAUUUUAAAAAUUGUCAUAGGACCUGAAUGGGCACUUGUCAUAGGACCUGAAGGUGUGCAAUGGCCAACAAGCACAUAUAAAGAUGGUCAGUAGUAUGUGAUUAGGGAAAUACAAGUCAAAGCUGUAAUGAGAUGCCACCUCACAAUAAAAGGGGACAACAACAAAUGUGAGACAGGAGGUGGAGAAAUUAAAAGCUCAUACCUUACUGGUGGAACUGUAAAAUGGGGAAGCCACCUAGGAAACAGUUUGGCAGCUCUUCAAAAAGUUAAACAUAGUGUUACCAUAUGACACAGCAAUUUUACUCCUAGGUAUACACCCAAGAGACCGGAAACAUAUUUUUCACAUUCAGGAACAAAAACUGAUCCAUAAAUGUUCAUACCAGUAUUAUUCAUACUAGCCGGAAAUUAGAAGUAAACCAACGUCCAUCAACUGAUAACCAUAGAAACAGAACACGUAUAGUCAUACAAUGGAAUAUUAUGCAGCCGGACAAAGGAGUUCGUGACUAACACAUCUUACAUGGAUGAACCGUGGAAACAUUAUCUUAUAUGAAAAAAGCCAGGCAAAAGGUUACAUAUUAUUUGAUUCCACUUAAAUGAAAUGUCCAUAAUAGGCAAAUUUAUAGAGACAGGAAGUAGAUUGUGGUUACCAAGGGUUCAGGGGAGAGGGAAUAUGGAGUUAUCAUGACUGGGUUUGGAAUUUCUUUUUGGGAUGAUGAAAAAUUUCUGAAAUUAGAUAAUGAUGAUUGCUGUAUCAUCUUAUGAAUAUACUAAAAAUCACUGAAUUGUGUACUUUAAGAGACUGAAUUGUAUAGUAUAUAAAUUUUUAUAUUCUAAAAUAUUUUUAGAUUAUAAAAUAACCUUCUAAAAGAUAUUUAGGUUCCUCAAGUAAAUUUUAGCCAAGAUGAAAACACAUGGGAAGUGCUUAAUGCAUCAGGAUGUGCCUUUAGAGGAACAAAGGUUUGUCCCAUGCCAUUAGUACAUGUGCACAUUAAAAAUCAUUUUAAUGCUCCAAAGAUGACUCUCAAAAUGACUAAAAAUACUUGCCACAGGCCGGGUGUGGUGACUCAUGCCUGUAACCCCAGCACUUUGGGAGGCCAAGGUGGGUGGAUUACCUGAGGUCAGGAGUUCAAGACCAGCCUGGCCAACAUGGUGAAAUCCAAUCUCUACUAAAAAAAAUACAAAAAAAGUAGCCGGGUGUGGUGGCACAUCCCUGAAAUCCCACCUACUCGGGAGGCUGAGGCAGGAGAAUCUCUUGAACCGGGAAGGUGGAGGUUGCAGUGAGCUGAUAUUGCACCAUUGUACUCCAGCCUGGGCAACAAGAGCAUAACUGUCUCAAGAAAAAAAAAAAACUUGCCACAUGCACUAAUAAUAUGGUUAUGUUGGAAUAGGAGAUGGAGAAUGUCUCUAAAUUGUUUUAUGGAAAAAGAAAAUUUCACUUUGCUUUGAACUAAAACUUCCGCAAAAUAAUUGAGAACUGUAACUUAUGAGAUUUAACAUACAUUUUUAAAGUCAGCAAAUUCUAAUAAGAUUGCUAGAUAUUGGCAAUGCAUAAGGUUUGGUUUCAAUUUUGAGAAAGUUGGUUGUGUUAACUGUUUGAGCCAUGAGCAUUGUUUAAUUUCUGACCACCCGUUUGAAUUUCUGUUAACUGGACAAUGUGAUGCAAAUGCAAUGUUGAAGAUCUACCAUCUUGGUCUGUAUCCAAGUUAGGGAAGAGUAGUAAGACAAAUGGCACAGAAAUGCCUGUAGUUGCCCCAGAGUUCAUCAACCCAUGUUUCAUACAAACAUGUACACUUAUACGCAGACACUGAGAUGGUGUACCGAGGGGGCUUUGUCACAUCUGAACUUCCAUGUUACUCUACCAUCGAUCAAAGACUUUGGCCGUGUUUCUUAAUUUCUCUAAACACGAGUUUUCCUACGUAUAAAGUCGGAUCUCCUUUGCAAGGAUUUGCCAAUGUUCAGUGAAAUAAAUUUAAAAUGCCUGACGGGUAGUAGGUAUUCAUUAGAUGCAGGCUGUGCUGAUGCUGACUGAUGUCAAGAUCCUGAAUCAGAAAAGCUCCUGCAGACCUAGCGAUACCCAGGGCAGGGCCAAACAGGCGGUAGAUUCUACAUAAAUACAUGUUCAUUGAUUAGCUAUUUCCUACCUGAAACAAGGCGUACACACAAAAAACAAGUGACUGACUGUCCUACGUCUCGGCCUUAGUGUGUUUUCUUCUGACUUGUAAAUGCACCUUUCCCAUUCACUAAUGCUGGCUAAGGGCAGGAUACUCUAUGACAUCAGUUUCCUUUGGUUACAUUUUCCCCAUCUAAGAAAGUGUACUCAUUCUGAAUUAUGCCAAACCGUGUAAUCUGGAAGACGAACAGCUAUUCCAGUUAGAAAGACCUGACUGGGUGUCAGCCAUUGCUAGGCAAGUUGUAGCCCUUGUUAUAAAAUUAUUAUUUUAAGCCAGACCUAGUGGCUCAUGCCUGUAAUCCCAGAACUUUGGGAGGCCAAGGCAGGCGGGUCACCUGAGGUCAGGAGUUCGAGACCAGCCUGACCAACAUGGAGAAAACCAGUCUCUACUUAAAAAUAUUAAAUUAGCCAGGUGUGGUGGCGCUCACCUGUAAUCCCAGCUACUCGGGAAGCUGAGGCAGGAGAAUCUCCUGAACUUGGGAGGCAGAGGUUGUCAUGAGUCGAGAUCACACCAUUGCACUCCAGCUUGGGCAACAAGAGUGAAACUCCGUCUCAAAAAAUAAAUAACUAAAAUAAAUACAUAAAUAAAUAAAUUUUAAAAAUUA